CUAGUCCGACGACCGUGCGGUUGGAACUCCCGUCGUCUCUUCAGAUCCAUCCUGUGUUCCAUGUCUCCCUGAUCAAACCCGUCGUUUCCAGCCCUCUGUGCCCGGUUCCGGCUCCGCCUCCUCCUGCUCAGCUCUACAAAGGGGGGCUGGUAUACAAGGUGCGGCGCAUCCUCGACUCUCGCCCCCGUGGUCGGGGUCUUCAAUAUUUGGUGGACUGGGAGGGGUACGGCCCGGAGGAACGCUCCUGGAUUCCCCGGUCCAACAUCGAGGACCCCUCUCUCAUCUCGGACUUCGAGGCCUCCAGAUCCGGUGCUAGGACGCCGGGGGGCGUCCGUUGAGGGGGGGGCACUGUCAUGUUCCUGGGCAGAGGUGAGUCACACCUUCUCCUCUCACCAGACUCUGAGCUAAUUCUCCACAGGUGAGGAGCAGGGGGAGCGGCAGCUGCAGGAGAUUUCCCAAUCAGGGACGCGGGUUCAAAAGGAGGAUGGAGACACAUCACUUUGCCGGAUGAUUGCACCAGUUUAGGAUCAUCUCAUCAUCUACUCACCCUCGCUGUCUUCGUUUUCUGGAACAUACUCAUCACGUCCCAUCCUCCUCCGCCGUUCCUGUUUGGCUUUCCCUCUGCUACCUCACCCCUCCUGGAUCUCUCAUCCUCUGCCCAGCGUCCUCCCCGGCUUCCCCUCCUCUACUGAUUAACCUGAGCACCUCAGAGACUCGAGCCGUAUUGCUCAUCCCACAGGACUUCCCUGUGCGGUUUCAGUUCCCGUUUUUAUAAUAAAGACAUUUUACUUUA